AUACGGAGGAUCCGAGCGUUAUCCGGAUUUAUUGGGUUUAAAGGGUGCGCAGGCGGGAGAUUAAGUCGGCGGUGAAAUUUUGCAGCUCAAAUGUAAAAAGGCCUUCGAAACUGGUUUCCUUGAGUGUAGAUGAAGUAGGCGGAAUUUGUGGUGUAGCGGUGAAAUGCAUAGAUAUCACGAGGAACUCCGAUUGCGCAGGCAGCUUACUAAACUACUACUGACGCUCAGGCACGAAGGCGUGGGGAUCAAACAGGAUUAGAUACCCUGGUAGUCCACGCAGUAAACGAUGAUUACUAGCUGUUUGCGAUACAAUGUAAGCGGCUGAGCGAAAGCGUUAAGUAAUCCACCUGGGGAGUACGUUCGCAAGAAUGAAACUCAAAUGAAUUGACGGGG
rnacentral:rRNA from 1 species